AGUGAACGCUGGCGGUAGGCCUAACACAUGCCAGUCGAACGGCAGCACAGUAAGAGCUUGCUCUUACGGGUGGCGAGUGGCGGACGGGUGAGGAAUACAUCGGCAUCUACUUUUUCGUGGGGGAUAACGUAGGGAAACUUACGCUAAUACCGCAUACGACCUACGGGUGAAAGCAGGGGAUCUUCGGACCUUGCGCGAUUGAAUGAGCCGAUGUCGGAUUAGCUAGUUGGCGGGGUAAAGGCCCACCAAGGCGACGAUCCGUAGCUGGUCUGAGAGGAUGAUCAGCCACACUGGAACUGAGACACGGUCCAGACUCCUACGGGAGGCAGCAGUGGGGAAUAUUGGACAAUGGGCGCAAGCCUGAUCCAGCCAUACCGCGUGGGUGAAGAAGGCCUUCGGGUUGUAAAGCCCUUUUGUUGGGAAAGAAAAGCAGCAGGUUAAUACCCCGCUGUUCUGACGGUACCCAAAGAAUAAGCACCGGCUAACUUCGUG
rnacentral:rRNA from 1 species